rnacentral:pre_miRNA from 1 species
UCUUAUGGAUAAGCAAAGAAAGUGGUUUCUUAAGACAGAAUCUACUCCGGCGAAGAUGUUGUGAA